GGGCAAGGAGAGGGCGUCUGUUUCUCAAAGGUUUGCAAAAAAAAAAAAAAAUCUAUGCUAAUAGCAUUGCAAAGUAUUAGUACAGUCUGACUGCCUAGACUCGGGAACACGAAUUCUGCUAUGUCAUUGUCUAGAUGGGAGACGGCAUUUUCUAAAGCAAAUCUACUUCUUUCCCUCACCCCCCUCUGCCGAACAAGGUCAAAUUGUACAGCUCCGCUUCUGUUCCUCCCCAAUCUUUAGUUUUAAUCUGAGGUCCUCUGGACUGUAAUCAUCUUUCAAUGGACUGCAGUGUAAUAAUCCUUCCCUCUGGUUACAUUAGCUGCACGGGCUACCCGUUGAUGGCCAGAUAGUCUGAUGGCAAAUGAGAUUAGACGCUCAAGAGCACUCUGCGUCUAGGAGAGACACUGAAAGCUGUCUCUACUGAGUUAAAUAAGGGGGAAGGAGAUUUUGAGACUUGAUUCUGGGUCCAGUUGCCAGCUCCGCUGGAAGCUUUGUACAUGAGCAAAGACAAGGCACUUGACUCUCUCUUUGCCUCAGUCUUCCAUCUGGGAAGUGGGGACAAUAGUGCUCUCUUUCUUUGCCUUUUUUGGGGAGGGGGCCUGUCUGACUCUGUAAUAUGAUUAAUAAGAUAAAAUACCCAUCCCCUGCUGCCUUUUACACAGAAACUGAAUGUAUUCACUUAUAUUUACAUGCCACGUGAGCUAUGACAGAAUCACAUUCCUGGAUAUAGCACAGUCAAAUCAUUGAGCUCUUCUCCUUGAACCUCAGAGCAAACCUCAGAGAGGUUAAAGGCAGCAUUUUGUUCUAAAGGCCUCCUGUCAUUUUUAACAAUGGGAGCAUCUGCUUUGCCAAGGUGAGAAAUGGCUCUAAAAAUAUCGAGGUGAGCAGGCCCUGAUCAUCUAAGCUCUCCAAAGCAGACAGGCCUUUGACUUCAGCGGGGCUCAGGGUGAACCUGGCAGUCUGCCGACAGGGAAUACUUCAGAGAAGUGGAGCAGGCAUUUGCAUACAGCUCUUUAGGUUGCUGUACUGCUAUUAAGCAAGCUGCACUUCUGCAGUAUUUCACUUGAAAUACAGCUUGGAGCUGACCUCGCAGUACAAAAGACCUUAUUUGCAUAUGCGUUCCUAGGCACGUGUUCACACCUAAUCGCAACGAAUUAUUCCGGGCCCUUGCUGCUGUUCUUGAAUGUAAAACUGCUAUUGAUAUGGCCCGAGAACUGGAAUUUCUGAAUUCUCCCACCGAUUUGCUUGGAGAUCUGGGCAAGUCACUUAUACUUCUGGGCAUUGCAUUUUAGGCCCACUGCAGAGAAGUACAGCGAGGCUCAAAUAAUUGAUUCCAAAUGAUCAGUUCAAUGCUUUUUGUCUUAAUUUCUGCUUAGUCAUAGGUCUACUCAACCCUUUACCCCUAGCACCUUCUCACAAGUCAACACAGGUAUGUUUUGAGCUCAUGUUCUUGUAUAAAGCAGAGUCCCGGAUGAAGAAAAAUUGCAUAUCGAACGGGUCCAGUUGUAAACAGUAGGGCAUAGAUAAGGCAUCACUAGAGAGGUUUGGGAGGGAAAGAACAGAUUGCUAAGACACUUUAGAUGCCUCAGGCUUUUAAUAGCACUGCCCAGGUUUUCAAAGAUUUGGUUUUCUUACAAACAUAACCAUAUACCAGCUCACGAGGAGUGAAGAAAUCCCUCCCUCUUCCCUUUUAGCACCAGCUCUAAUAGACUCCUCAGAUAGCACUUCCACAUCAGGUCUGAAAUUUACCUAUAGCAGGCCUCAAAAAUUCCUAGAAAUUAUCAUUUAAAAAAAAACCAACAACCCUGAAGCUCACUUAACAAGAAAGGAGUUGGGAAACAGAAAGAUAUAUUUUGUUCAUUUUGUCCCCAUGCAUACCGUUCAUGUUCCAUCACCCUAUGAAGUAGACUAUGGUCUGGGACAGACAUUGCAUAAACCAGUUUGAGCCAAAUCAGCUAAGUCUGGUACUGCAUUCAACCGGGUUUAUCUCAAACCAAUUUCAGCCUUUUUGAAACUGGUUUAUGUGCACUGAAUGUCUGUUCUGUUAGAGGUUUAAACCAGUUUCUAAUAAGUUUGAAAAACCAUGAAGCUGUCAACAAACAUCACUGUAACAAGGGGGUGAGGGUGGAGCAGAACGUGGAAAUACUGAAAUACCUACAUUAGACCAAAAUUAUUGGAAGGACUGUCCAAAUACUCUAACCUAAUAAUAAACCAAGAGAUGGAAACUUGUCUUCAGUACCCCAGUGGCUUCCAACUUUCACCCCUUGCAAAUGUUUCUCACGGUACCAGGGCCACAUGAGCCAGACACAAUGCACUUUAAAGCAGCCUAGGGCUUGUCUUGGUCCUUCACAACUGCUGUGGUCUUCCAUUGACAUGUCUUCUUGAUGAUCAGAUGCCAUUUUGAGGUCAAGGGGGGAAAAAAGAGUUAGAGAAUCUGUUAACUUUUCACGGCUUCUAGGAGUCCUUUGAUUCCCCAUACUACCUAGGGAUGUUAAUAAAGUAGAGUUGUUUUAAUUUCUUUAUUUCUUCUGUCACCUUGCAUUGCUAUUUCUAAGUACAGAUGUGGGCACAGAAUGGAGCUGUCUUGGGGUGGGAUUAGGCAGCACAUGAUUGUGGCUCCUAGCACUAGCUACUUCUCCUCUGCUGCCCCCCCUCAAAUGUAAAAGUCUAAUUCCAGCGAGGAGCAUAAAUAUAGGCCAAGUCUUAUUCCUUCAGUGGAACACCACCCAUGCCUUAAGGUGCACCCAUGUGUUAGUGCUUGCUGGAUUGGAUCGAUCGAUAGAUCUGUAUUGCCACUAGCACCAGCAUGUCCUGCUCUAAAGCUUUUGUUGGCACUUUUGGCAGAGCAGUGACUCCCUAAAUCUAUCACUAAUUGCUUUAAGAGGUUUGCUAUAAUGGACAACAGCCUUUUCAGCUUGGCAUGCCUAAUUAAAUGUGAGUCUUAACAUUUAAUGUGUGUCUGAAUGAGAGCAGAGACACGGGAUGCUUUAAGCACAUUGUGCAUGGCUGUUUCUUAUCCUCUGCUUCUUUCAGUGCUCGUGUUGGGUAAAGGACACCAGGGAAUCCUGGUGUGAGGAACCAGGAAGAGCAGGUCCUAUUGCUUCCCUGUACUACUCUUGGAGGGAGAAGGAUGUGCAUUGUCCAAACUCUCUGAGAUAAUAAUCUUCUCAGUCUCAUGUGGCUCUCAGGAAAUAUGCUGCUUCCUCUUGGUUGGUGGCAUUAUUCUGCCUGGUGCUACACCUCACCAUUCAUAGGCCAGCAUUCUUGGAAGCAAGCUGAGGAAGUAUGGGUUGGAUGAAUGGACUGUAAGGUAGAUAGAAAGCCAGCCGGAUUGUCAAGCUCAGUGAGUAAUAAUCAAUGGCUCAAUGUCUAGCUGGCAGCCGAUACCAAAUGGAUGCCCCAGGGGUUGGUGCUGGAUCCGGUUUUGUUCAAUAUCUUCAUUAAUGAUCUGGAAGAUGGGAUGGAUUGCGCCCUCAGCAAGUUUGUGGAUGACACCAAGCUGGGGGUAGAUACACUGGAGGGUAGGGCUAGGAUUCAGCAUGACCUAAACAAUUUAGAGGAUUGGACCAAAAGGAAUCUCAUGAGGUUCAACAAGGACAAGUGCAAAGUCUUACACUUAGGAAGGAACAAUCCCACAUACCAGUACAGGCUAGGGACCAACUGGCUAAGGAGCAGCUCUGCAGAAAAUGACCUGGGGUUUACGGUGGACAAUAAGAUGGAUGUGAGUCAACUGUGUGCCCUGGUUGCCAAGAAGGCUAACAGCAUACUGGGCUGUGUCAGUAGGAGUGUUGCCAGCAGAUCAAGGGAAGUAAUUAUUCUGCUCUGUUCACCACUGGUGAGGCCACAUCUGGAGUACUGUGUCCAGUUUUGGGCCCCACAACAGAAAGGAUGUGGACAAGUUGGAGAGAGUCCAGCGGAGAACAUCAAAGAUGGUUCGGGGGCUGGGGAACAUGACUUACAAGGAGAGGCUGAGGGAAUUGGGUUUAUUCAGUUUGGAAAAGAGAAGACUGAGAGGGGAUUUGAUAACUACCUGAAGGAUAGCUCCAAAGACGACAGAGCUAAACUGUUCUUAGUGGUGACAGAUGACAGAACAAGGAGCCAUGGUCUCAAGUUGCAGUAACAGAGGUUUAGGUUGGAUAUUAGGAAAAACUUUCUCACAAGGAGAGUGGUGCAGCACUGGAAGAAGUUACCUAGACGUGUGGUGGAAUCUCCAAACUUGAAGGUUUUUAAAGCCUGGCUUGACAAAGCCUUGGCUGGGAUGAUCUAGUUGCUUGAGCAGGGGGUUGGACUAGAUGACCUCCUGAGGUCUCCUCCAACCCCCAUUUUCUAUGAUAGGCUAUGGAUACAGGAUGCACUAAUUUUCUCUUUGAAAAAUGCUCAGUGCUUCUCAGGCAAAACACUUUCCAAUUUGUGAUGACAGGGUGCUAGAAUCCAAAGUGUCCUUGUUCCACGUAACCAAACAUGUAAACAACUCAAGGGAUUCUUUGUGUUUCCAUACUGAGUAACCUACAUGUCCACCACAACUAAGCAAGCAGAACAACCAGCCAAUGUUCACCAACCAACAAAGGGCUGGAACAUAACCUCUGCUUUCAGGGAGGCAGCUGUUUAUAUCCCUUCGUGUUGCUAUUCUCUCCCUUUACUCUUUUCUAACUCCAGCAUUGGAGGAAUCUGAUUGGCUAGGGACAGAAAUUACACAUAAACCAAUACAAGUGAUCAGAAACCAGUUCAAAUCUGUAACACAACAGAAGUUCAGUGCACAUAAACCACUUUCAAAAUGGCCCAAACCAGUUUAAAAUAAACCUGGAUGGAUGUAGUACCAAACUUAACUGAUUUAGGUUAAAAUGGUUUAUUUAACUUCUGUCCCAGAUCCCCUCCAGAUUUAAGUUAACUCACAGUCCCCCAGCAUCCCAGGAUGCUUUGCACCUCCACCACAAAGCUCCCCCUUCACAGAGUGGGCCAGCUAGCUUUGGCCCAGGCUGUCUGCUCCAGCCAAGCAGGGAGGCAUAUCCCCCUGGCUUCUGGCCUGAGCCACUGCAGGCAUGUGGCUGCAGUUCCAGAAUCAAAAGUGAAUGUCUGUUCACUUGCUUAUUAGUUCAAUUCAUCCUCCGGCUUUUUGACUGUCUGUAGUUAGCCUUAAUGAUCAACAUUGUUCUCUGGUUGGGAGCCCAAGGACAUGAAACCAGGGCAUUCAUUACCCAGUAUGGGCUAUUUUUCUUUCUCCGCUCCCCAUGUGGAAUAUGGGCCGAGCAGGUUCCAACUCAGUGGGGAAAGCAGCACCUUUACAUACCUAUUCCCCAUCCACAUGCCUAGGAGGAGAGAUACAAAUAAUGUUUUUUUCAGAUUUUGCUCUCAUCUCUAAAACCCACUGGUAUGGCUAAAGGAGUUCCUCCCUUGACAGUUUGCUGUGGGUUCAUAGAGCAAGUAACAAUCUUAUAUUUUCAUUCAGAGUGUUUGAAUGAACAUGGACCUGACAGAAACUGAAGAUUUCAGUUGCUUCUUGUCUACAGCUCACACUGGCACAUCAAACAGGUUUAGCCCCAACAGGUUUAGCCCCAAGCCCCAUGUACCUGAACUCUAAGACACGUAUAAUGACCCCGUUUCAGUGGGCUCAGCAGUUACUUGAGGUUGCUUGUUGUGCAUUUUUAUUUGUUGAGACAUAGGGCACUGGAAGAAAAAUGCAAAUAUUUCCCCUUAUCCGAACUCGGAGCUUGCAUAUGGAACUUAAGGACAGGGCCAGCAGCUUUUCAUUUUCUGCUGUGUUGCAUGGUGGACAAACAUUACCCCUGAUAAUUCCUAGCAUGACACAAACAAGGAAAUAAUGAGCUCUUAAUGGAAUAUUAUGGCAUUAAUAAGUUAUUGCAUGCAGAUAAUUUCAAACAAUGGAAGUCCCUCACCAUUAUCCCUUUAUUAACUUCUUUUGAUUUCUUGGCUAUUGGACCAAAGGCAACAGUCUUCUGCCUCCUCUGAAAUAUAAUUUGAGUUUUAUUGGAAUUUCACAUAAAAUGACUAUAAUCACAUGUGAGAUUGUUUUGCAUAUGGUCAUUAAAUACAUAUAUUUUUUAAAUAACCUAACCUUGGUUUCACUUAACAGUUCAGCUGUAUUUCAGUUCUUAUCUUCAUAGAGCACAGAUAAUGUUCCUUCUCCCUUUUCUUUGAGCGGGAAUUAAUAGUUCAUUUUUUGUUGGUAAUAUUGAGCAGACUUUUGUUCUCUAAUUUAUCUUUUUGCCUUGCUGAGGAACAGCAAUGCCCAUUAAAUGGAAGAAUUCAUUUUGGCAAAUCAAUGAAACCCAGUUUAUGCCCAGCCACAUACUGGGCACAUCUAUACAUGUGGUUUAAUACGCAUUAGCCUAUUUUAAUGUGCCGUAAAGCAUCAUAAAAAGUGCACUUUCGCUAGUGCACAUUGAAAUAGGCUAACGUACCUUUUUCUAGUACCUCGCUAGAGGUACAUAGAGGGCAUUUGUACACAUGCUUGCACUGCAGUGCCAGGUGCUUUUAAAAGUGCCUGGUAUAGUGCACUUCUAAAAGUGCACAUGCAUUUGUAUGAACGGCUAAAUGUGCUUCAGUGCUGAGAAAAUGGCAGCGGCAUGCUUUUUGAACUAACACAUCGAAAGUGUUUUAGUUCAAAAGCGCACCACUGCCAUUUUCUUAGCACUGAUGUGCAUUUUGCUAUCUAUACAAAUACAGGCAACGCAGCGCUGGUAUGUCAAAUACAGGCGACGCAGGUGGGGCUUGGUUAAUCGAGUCUGCUCCUUCGCACUAGAUCUCCAGCACAUCAGAACAGACAGUGUAUGUGUAUAAAUGCCCAGAGGCACUAUAUUUAUUGUGCAUUACCAAAAGCGCAUUAAUGAACCUGUAGACGUGCCACCGAGCCAGUCAAGUUUCAUUUUUUUCUUGGUUUUAGAAGCAUGGCAUGUAAAGGGCAAACAUGACGGCAAAGACUACAAGCUAUGGCUUACCCACGUUUUUCUUUCAACACUGUUUUUAUUUUUUUUGGUAGGCUCUCAACUCCAGGCAAAGCAUUUUCUCAUGCUGAAAGUUGUUUGCCUGAUGUCUCCUCCUCUGUUAUUUCAGAUGAGGGAACUGUCUUCCUCCUCAAAGCAGGAUCUGUCUGCUCAGUCUAAUCUAUGCUUCCUUUUGUGAAGAUACAUUACUACAUCCUGGAUCUGUUUCCUGUGUCCUGCCUUAUAACACCCCCCACCCCUCCAGCAGCAGGUAAUAGGCAUGGAACAAGGGUUGCACAUUGGGCUGCGGUGCAAUGAAACAAACCUUCAUUUUUAAGGUAUGUGCUUGAACCAUCCAGUAACAGAAAGAAAUCACUGUUUCUAUUUUUCAUACGUAACCCCUGGCUUAUUCAUGGGAGAUCAGCCACAACUGUCUGCAGCUCUCAUUGGCUUCACGGCAAAGCAAACAUGCCCACAGCAUUGCUUCCACUGCAUUUCAUCUCAGAACUUUUGUUAGAUGCUGUAUAUUUUCUGCCAUCGUGUCCAGAUCUCCCAAAGAAUCAAAUAUGCUGCCUGGCUAGUCAUCCCUUUCCCCUAAUGGUUUUGCUAAGGUUGAUUGGAGGUGCAUUGAGCUGGGAGCCUGAGCUAAAUAGUAAUGAAAGGGACUGACAUGCGAUCAGCUUUCAUUGUUGUAAGCAAAGCUGGGCUGCCCUGUUUAAGUGUCACAGCACCCAGCACAUCUGAGCCCAUCAUGAAAACGCAUCUCUGGCUUUGAUUCAUUUCCAGUGACCAAAUCUUCCUCUCCGGCCUUUCAUUUUGAAUGGGCAUGUUCUUUGUUUUUGUAUCAUCCAAGCUGCAUGUGCAAAUGUAGGAACCAGAUGGAAAAACUGGAUGGGGAAACUUCACUUUCCUGAUCAAAUCAAUUAAACGGAGCCUGUUUGGCCCAUUUAUUUCUUAUUAAGAAGCGGUCCCAGUGGCAGGUAAAGGGGUUAGAUCCCCCCAGUUGGUGUAAAUCGGCAUUGAUUUCAAUGAAGCAGAAUCUAACAACGCCGGCUGAGAAUCGGCCCCAGAAUAGUUAGCUCUUACUUUGAUCAGAACAAAGACCUACCUGUUUAUAUAAGAACAUACCUAUUGUUGUUUCUAAAGCUAUUUCAUUUGGGCUCUUCUGGUAUGCACAUUUCCUCUAUUCAUUCUUGUGGAGAAAGAAUGUGAUAUAGAGCUACGGUGGGUCUGAAAAAUUCACUUCUUAAGCAAUAGGAUGUUAUAUUGAAAAUUGACUGUUAGGAAAAUGUGUUAUUAUCUAAAAAUGAUUAUUUUAAACUAAGUCAAAACAAAUUAUCUCGACAUGCAUGGCAUGAUAGCAUACACAAUUUGAGCGAUUGUAAUUUCAUCCUGCUAUAAUAAAAUUGAUUCCUAUAAGAAAUGUGAUCAAAUCAACUGCAUUCCUUGUAGACUUUCUUGAAAUACACUUAACUCAAACAACAGAAUAGGAAUAAAUCCUCUCUCUCUCUCUCUCUUUUAAAUAUAUAAAAUGUUGUUCAGUAAAUUGCAGGCAGCACCGUUUUGCAGAUUCAUUGAAGUCAGUGAAGCUACAUCAAUUUAUAGCAGAAAAGGGUAUGUCUGAAAAGUGCAUAUCCAAAUGCUAGAUCAGAAUAUAUUUGUGUGCAUGUACAAGCACAUACCCACUACUUGUUUGUGCAUUGAAAGAGCUCUAGGUUUUGGUUUUGAGUGAUGCAAUUGUGGAUUUGGUGGGAGUUUUUGAUUCCUUAAGUUAUUUUCAUAUAGUUGACUGAACUUCCAGUCAGGUUAUAAACACCGAGGGAUUAAAAAAAAAUCUUAUUACUACCAUGAAACAGAUGUCCUGUCUUAAUACAUGUAUAUAUUGUAUCAAGAGUGCUAUAGCUGGAAUAGAGGCAGGGGGAUGGACCAGUGGGAGGGUCUUUAACCAGCAGUGCAGCUAGGUGGAUAAAAUAGCUUGGAGUCUAUUCAUGGCUCUGGCUCUGCUACUUGUCAGUUGAGUGGCCUUGGGUACUAACCUCCAGUACUCACCUCUUUGGUAAAGCACUUUGAGCUCUGCUAAAAGAAAGCUCUGUACAAAAGCUAAUAUUAGUAUAAGAACUUUGGCCCCAGUCCUGCACAUAUGAAUCCCUAUUUUCAACUUUAAGCAUAGAAGCAUCCUAAAAGAAGUUCACCGUGAAUAUUCAUAUGAGCAAAGACUGGGCUCGCAGGGUGCAUAUGUGGGUUCUGGUUCCAGAAAAGACACAGGUACUUAACACUGGCUUCAAUGGGACUACUCACACGCUUACAGCUGAGCAUAGGUGUAAGUGCUUUGCUGGAUGGGAGCCAUGUGGAGGUACAGAAUCACUCCUGCUGGAGACCUGUUAUUACUGACAGAUAGAAAUGGGUGGGAAAACUUUCAUCAAAAUGAAACAUUAAUGAAAAACAAGUAAUUCCCACAGCUUGUGUUCUGUUUUCUGAUCCGCUCUAGGGACAGGCCACUCAACAGGGUUCAUUGUCCAUAUAGAAAAGAGAAUUUUGAACACAGCUCUUUGCAAAGGACAAAUGACUCCCCCCGCCCUCCCCCCAAUUAUUACUCUAAAGGAGAGGUGCCAGUGAGACGCUGUUUUUAACAGUGCAAAAAUGUGCAACCCCCACAAAGUCCCUCCAAACAAAUAAUUCGGCGAUAAUAACAAACCUGGGCAAAUGAAUUCGCUCUGUGUGAGUUCUAAUGAAUUCGCUCCUAGCCCUUCCUGCAGCCUCCCGCUUUGUGUUGUUCUGAUCGCUGAUCCUCGUGGCAUUGUAACCCAAACAGGGCAGCUAGAGGCAAGAAUUCUAAUCCCUGCCUGCACAACCUUUUUUUUUGGUAUGAAAAGAUUCCCUUUUGAUCUUAGAAUUAAACCAUUACAGCCUGUGUUAACAUGUACCCAUUAGUGGCCUGACCCUGCUCUCAUUGAAGAUAAUGGGAGUGUUGCCAUUGACUUUUAAAGGGAGGAGGUUCAGAGCUCAAGCCUAUUGUUCUACUUCACUGUGAAUGGGAUGUGAUUUUUGAAAGGUUAACUCUUUUAUUGUACAACUCCGCAGUAUUUUUCCCUUGGGUCACCUCCCUUCUAGAUUCCAAGGGUACCUAUUCCCUUGGAUGUUGAUUCAUGUAGCACAUUGUGUCUUUACAACAUUAAAUCCCCACUCUGAAACAACAGACAUUAUUUGCUUUGCCGAGGAUGAGACAUUUGCAUGGUUUUUAUAGUUGAAGCUGGCCCAUAAUAAAGUGCAGGGGACUGGUUUUAUGCCUGCAGCACCAGAUGCCUGACUCCACCCUAGAUUUUCUGUCUGAUUUUUAGACACAUCAUUUAAUCUCUCAUACCUCUGUUCUCCAUCUGUUUCCCUAGGUUGUGAGCAAGUUGGGGCAGGGUUUGUAUCUGAAUAUGCUUUUGACCAAUGCCUAGCACAAUGAAGUCUUGAUCUCUGAUAUAUGCAAGCAGUGGCUAUAUAGAUGCACCUUAUCUAACCGCUUUAGACUUAGUGUCAGUGGUGAAGACAGUUGCUCACUUUUUUUGUGGGAAGAUAAACAUUUUUUGGAUACUUGCCAUGAAGUAUAACAAGGAUAUAACUCCCGGGUGGGCAGCAAACAGGAACAUUAGAAAUACAAAGUGAAAGUGCUUUCAAGUGCAUGCUUUUCCCCUCUUUGGUUCUUUCAUCAUAGGUAACUAAAAAAAAAGAAAAAAAAGAAAAAAGGUUUCCAUGGAAAUUAUGAAACCAAAGGAGAUAAUAUCAGGCUGUGCUUUGUUCUGUGUCCUCUAGGUGUAAUGCAAGCUAUAGCGUAAAUAGAACUAUGUGGUGGGUCACCUUUGACAAAAAGGGACUGUUUCCCCCCUCCCUAAGAUACCUUAUCACUAUGGUGAUUUACUGGUUUUAACAGGAACACUGUGAGUCAGUGGCAUUGUGAUCACUGAUGAGAUACAAAUCCUCCUGGGGGACAAGGCUAAGUAACUUGUUGGCCAAUCUCCCUCAAAAAUCUUUGUUUUCUUCAUUUCCUGACAGAACAUCAUGGCCAUUGUAUGCAGAAGUUAAUUCUCCAGGAGUGGAGUAUUGGGCGCUUCAGGUGUCACUGCUAAAAAACAACUUCCUUGUUGUUAAGGUGAAUUGAAUUUCCCCCUUGCAAAGUUUUUCCCAUUAUCUUUUGAAUUAAUGUUCUGCAUAUGGCUAUCCGCUCUGAUUUCUAUUCUUUCUUACUGGAAAACAUAUCAAACAGAUACAGAGCAGUUCAGUAGGUGUUCAGAUGUUUAAAAAUAUUUAGGCAGUUCAAGGAAACUUAACUAGAUCAGUGCCUAGCGUGUUGCAACCUAGAUCUGAGUUGAAAUCUUGGAGGCAUGACUGAAAGGCAUGCGAGUACUAUUACUACAAAUAGAAUUCAUACUACUUAUGCUAAAGCUAAAAUGACGACCGGGACACAAGAGGUUUCUUAUUAUGCGGUGGCUGCAAUAAUGUUCUGUAUGUUUGUUUCCUUUGUCUGUCUUUAUGGCAUAGGCCGGUGGAGGCCAACCUUUUUAGCAGGUAUGCCACAAAUGAGCCCCACACCCUCCCUGGCUAGGGACAGACAUUACACAUAAACUGGUUUAAGUGAUCAGAAACUGGUUUAAACCUGUAACAGAACAGAAGUUCAGUGCACAUAAACCAGUUACAAAAUAGUUGAAACUGGUUUAAGAUAAACGUGGUUGAAUGUAGUAUCAGACUUAACUGAUUUGGGUCAAACCAGUUUAUGUAAUGUCUAUCCCAGACCCCUCCCUGGUUUAAGUUAAACCAGAGUCCCCCAGCAUCUCAGAUGCUUUGCUGGGCUGGGCUGGGCUAGGCUGUGUUCUGCUUCAGAAAAUAGGCUAUCCCCACCCCUCUCCUCCCUAGCCAGAGCUCUGGGGGAGACUGCAGGCACAGCAGGGUCUGCUCAGCUUUCCUCACUGCACACUGCUCAAACAGGGAUUCCCCGCCCCCCCUUCCACCCUCCAAUCCCACAGCACAGCCUCCAGCCCCAUGGACCCAUGACAUGUGCUAUCAGUGGCAAUGCGUAGGGGGUGCACAGGGGUGACUGGCCACUGGGGGAGCAAGUGCCCCCCUGACUCAGGAGACACCAGUCACCCAUGUGUGCUGUGUUAGCUAAUGCUAAGAGGUGUCCAUGUCUGUGUCUCCAAUUUCACUGGGACAGGCAGACAGAACAGUGUCCACUUAGGGCUUUUUGGAGCUAAUCAACAGGUCAGCUGGAAAUGUCCCUCCAUUUCUUCCUUGGAAAAAGCUGUUUAAGAAGAGCUUGUACUAAUGAGAGAGGCUUUUGUUUUGCUGAAGGGUUGAUAACACUGUGGUUUUAUCAUCCCCUUGGUGGGUUUACAGCCCUGUCAGGUUUGCAGACAGGUCUGUAGACAUGGAGAGGGAGGUUGAAAACUUCAGUAUCACCAACAGAUGCAUGCACUGCACACCCCUGCUUUGCCUCAGAGUGCUAGCACACGGCUGGGGUCUGGCAACACUCCUGCCCCUUGAGCAGCCAGAGGAGAAAAGCAUGAGACAGUGCAGGCAGGGUCGGGGGUUUACACCCCUCCCUAAUCAGAGUGUCCUGCCGGGGCUUGGCCUCGCCCCCCCUCAGCUCAGCAAUAUGGAAGGGAAGGGAGGGCUGCUCUAGCGGUUCCCAGCUUCUAACCUGAGCCACUGCAGGCAUGUGCCUGCAUUUCUGGAAUGAAAAGGAAAUGUGUAUCCACCUCCAAAUCGGUUCAAGUUUUGCAGGUUAGACUAACCUGCAAAGAUUGAAUCAAUUCAGGCUUAGGCUUUUUGAAUGUCUGUCCCUAGCACCUAAGUGCCAGUCUAACUCUCCUCUCCUACUAGAUUGGCUGCUCUGCUUUCUGCUCCCUGCCCAUCUGCAGCUCUGCUUUCUGCAUCCUCUCUUAUGUGCCAGUGUGCUGCCUGUCUCCUCCCCAGUUUGCCAUGUUCCACAAAAUGGCUUCCUUUGCCCCUUAUAACACAUGUGCUGCAGGUUGGCUACCUCUGGCAUAGACUGAGCAAUUUGCACUCAGUUUGCAGUAAAUAGUGUAAAGUUGCCCCCUCCCCCCAAGGCAAUGUACCCAGGCUUCCAUGCUCCAUAGGGGAAGUGCACACAUUGCUUUGGACUUCAUUAUACUCCCAACUAAGUGGCUGGGCCUUUACCUGUACACAGGCAGUGUAGUGAACAGAAUUCUGCAUGGCUCUUGCACAGACCAUACAACAGGGUAAGGGAAGCAUCUCUCUUUCCUUUCAUUGCACUCAUGUGUGAGGGCUGACAGAAAUUGGCAUUCCAUUGGUCUGGAGAGCAGGGCACUUCAGAAGAAGAGCUUUUCACAUCCCAUUGCACUUUUUCCACUCACUUUUCAGAGCUGAUGUAAAGAGCUGCUAGAAGAAGCACUUUGCAGAGUGCACAACAUGUUCUGCCAAUCUGUAAAGCUCAGGACCUAUGCUGCCUCAUCUGUAGUCCCUUCUCUGCAUCCGAUAAAGUAAGCUGCUGCUUAUGAAAGCUCAUGUAGCUCUUGAUUUAGUUAGUUCACCAGGUGCAAAUCUACCCAGCUUUCUUCCUGACGUCAGGCUAAUGCAGCCAACUACCUCUCUUUAAUGUUGUAUUAUCUCCUAACCACUGAUUUAUUUACAGAUACAGAGUACAUGGCAUGUGGAUGUCUGCUCAUCUGAGAAGCAUGUGUCAGUGCUAAAUAACAUUCAGCAGACUUUGAGAUUUGAAGAUGCUUCAUACUUUGCACAACUGUUCAGAUCAUCUAACCUGAUGAAGCCCUGAUGAAAGCAAAGAUUUUGAGAGCUUCUGUGAACUUCCUGUAAUACGGAUCCACUAGUGGAUUUGAGUCCACCAGGAUGCAUCUCAACUAGCGAAGGGAAACAGGCUAGUAAAUAAACCAGGGCCAACAUCUGGACACAGGAAUGACACCACAGGCCCCAGCAGGGAUGUGGGCUCCAGGUCACCACCACCCAGUGCUGGGAGCCACUGCAUGUGCCAGCUCUGCCAGCAGUGGACCCAGGAUCAGACCCUCAUGCUGCAACAGCUGGUAGCAGUGGUGGAGGAGCAGGAGGCAUGGGCACAGGCCUAACGGGAAGAGGCCAUUACCCAGGAGACUGCCUGGGGAAGACACAUGGGACUGGGCACAGUGGGAGCACUGGGUCAUGAUGGAGGCCCUGGAGUAGAAGUGGAUUGAGCUGCUCAGGCAGCAAAUGGCCAUCCAGGCCUGGGCAGUAGAGGCCAUGGACAAUGACUGCUUAACUCUGGACAUUGGGCCUGGUGGUUGUGUGCGUGCCCCGCACUUCCUGGUCCCUGCUUCUGGCCCCACAGGGUUCCUGGUAGCUACCCGCCACCCCGCAGAAGGCCCGUGGCUGGGCCUGGGAGUAGGUUCUCUGGUGCCUCCUGCCUUCAGAAGCCCCUGGCCUGGUCCCCAACCUGGGCUUGGUCCUGUUGCUUGCCCUGACACCAUGCACCUGAGGACUCAGAGGUGUCAGGCAUGGCACUGCAAAGGGAUGUUGGCCCUGCACUUGGGAAGCACCAUCUGCCAUUGAGGCAGGACAGGCCCGCCACCCACUGUGGUUGCCGUAGUCCCCACACCCACAGAGGAAUGGCCUGAGACCGGAGUGCUGGCCGACUACCCCUAGACUCUGUCCCCUAUGCACCCCCACCCCAUGGCCCCCUGCUCUGGGACUCACAGAGACUGAGAGUCUUGUAAAUAGUUUUGACACUGGGGAGAGGGAUUUUUAUUGUUGGUGGUUGGGGAAGGUGGUGGAGGGGCUUGGUUUGUUGGGGAGCGAGCGUGGAGGAGGCUGUAAUGGUUGAGAGGGGAAGGGUGAAAGGAGCUCUGUGUGUUGGUGAGGGAAGGGCAAGAGGUCUCACACACCAGUGUGCCUCCUCUGCCCAGGCCUCCCUGAACAACCCUUCCCUGGGCCUUGCAAAUGUUGUGUAGCACACAGACUGCUACCAUGACCUGGGGGAGGUUUUUCACAGCCACUUUGAGGUGUGUCGUGAGGGACCUCCAGUGGCCUUUGAUGUGGCCAAAGGUGCACUUGAUGAGGGUGUGGGUCCAGCCGAGGCUCUGGUUAAAAUGCAAUGGAUGUGUUUUAAAGAUGGCUGCCAAGUGCUGGCAGCUGGGGCUAGAGGCUGGAGCUUCCCUCAUUGACCACAGGGGAGCAUGACAGGGCUGGAAGAACCUGGCACUAAAUUUGGUGCCAGAUCCUUGAAUGUGUACACACCUUCCAAAAAUCACUUACUGCACAUUAAAUUUAGUUGCAACUAAUUGCACAUGUAGACGUGCCCAGUAAAGAUGCACACAAGAUAUCUGAAUGGUCUCUUUAUAUUACAAGCCUCUAUGUGAUGUGUUAUUUAUUUUUAAAAGGAAAAAAAUAUGUUUAAUUUUUAAGUAAUAUCUGGGGCAGGAAAGGAUGCAGGACAGAAAUCAUUAUUGAACAGGAACAAAAACUGGUGCCUAAAAGCUUUUGUCUUUCACUAACAGUUGGUCAUAAGUUAGCAUUCUUGAUCUCUAUGUGUGACACCAGACUCCCUCAUCAUACAACUCUCAGUUCAUCUGAUUUUCAAUCUUAGAAUCCACUCAGCAGAUUAUUGGUUAGGUUUUGGGUGGAGAAAUAGAAGCAUUGAUGGGCUUGCGAGUAGCUAGGCCCUGAAUUUCACAGUCAGUGAGGCAGGAAAUUAUAUCAAGACAGAACUGACUGUAUGUAAGAAGGAAAAGAAGAAAAUGUGAGGAAUCUGGGAGUCUACUCCUAAAAACCCUCCUCACUACUAGUUUUGUUUCCAAGAUGAAGCCUCAGAGGUCAAGCACGGGACACGUUAUAAAUGGCCAGAACAGAUACAGGCAGAUCUAGGAUUUUGAAAAGCGGGGUGCAAAUGGUGUGGUGCAUCAUCCCAUAUAACAUGACACAUUUUUCUCCAGUUAAAGAGAAACUAGAAAGUUAAAAAAAAUACAAUGAACUAGGGGGGAAAAUCAAAAUAGUUAAAAGGUGUUGCAUAUUUAGUCCCAUAUUUAUUAUAGUUAAAUGUAUGUCUCUCAUUCAGAUUGAUAAAACAGAAUCUAGUCCUCUUGAGCAUCUUGACAGUGCCUUACCCGUAUUUAAAGCUCAUUGAAAAUUUCUGACACAAAAUGCCUCAUCCCUGUAUACUUGCUCAAUGAAAUAGAAAUGUUUGACAGGACAGUACUGAUUUCUUUGACAUUUUCAUAGACACGAUUAAAAGACUGAAUUUAUCCAAGUGAAAGUCAAUCCAAACAUUUUAUUUUGACUUUUCUGUUUCAAAUUAGAACCGGCAAAAUGAGCAAAACCUAACCCUUGCAUUGAAAUGGAAAUGUUUUGAUAAAGUUGAAACAUUCCCUAAUAAUUUCACCUGGCAAAAAAUCUCUGAGCUUUUGACUUACUUUCUUGAUGUGUGAUGAAGCCCAAUUUUGUAACUUCCAAAUUUGCUCGAGGCUGGGGUUUUGAUUUUUGGCCCGUUAUAGUCCUAUUAGCACGGAUUCAGUCCCAUAUGCAUAUUCAUUGACAAGAGUAACUAUGUAUUGGUGGUGGGCUGGGUACACUAUGACUGGUGUAAGCGAUCAGAAACCGGUUUGUAACAAACAGAAGUCCGACAUACACAGACUGGUGUUUAAAAAUAAAAAAAAUCUGAUCUAAGAUUUGCUCCCCCCCCACGCGAAUGUGUUCUGUUCCCUACCGAUCUACGCCACACUGCUCACAGAAAAUCGUGUAACUUAGAUGGAUUCCACCUUGGACUUUGUGAAUGUCUGUACCUAGCCUGGGUGAUUUCCUGGCUUUUUGUAUUGCACAGUUUGCUUAUUAAUUCUGUGUCUCACAGACAUGUACUGUUCCCCUAAUUUAUUCCAGAAGCAUGUCAGAAAGUUUUCAUACUUCAUACUGGCCUUCACUGCAGUUUUGAUAACACUUUUUCGUUGACAGAUGAUACUCACAAGGGUGCAAAGCCAGUUAUAUUUACACUCUCCUAGAAGGUUUAGUGCAGUUGUCACAACUUGUCAAUGGUCAGAGCUGAACAGGUCUCAGCCAGCAUAAUGAUACAUUUCUUUUAUGGUACCUGGCAUAUUUGGAAAGAAACUGACUGGUUGUGAAGUAAGCACUUAGAAAAGAAAAAGCAGCUAUUUUCUUUUUGUCCGUGAGCAAAUACUUUAUAUUACAGUCUUCUCUGUCGUCGUCUUCAUUCCAACACUGAUUACAAUAAAGUGAAUUAAAUUCCUA